GGCUCAGUAACACGUGGAGAACUUGCCCUAGGCUGGAGAAUAACCUCGGGAAACUGAGGACAAUGCUCCAUAGCGCAUCCGUCCUGGAACGGUGGAUGCGUGAAAGCUCCGGCGGCCUAGGAUAGCUCUGCGGCCUAUCAGGUCGUAGCGAGGGUAACGUCCUCGCUAGCCUACGACGGGUAUGGGUGUUGGGAGACAUCGACCAGAGAUGGAUUCUGAGACACGAAUCCAGGUCCUACGGGACGCAGCAGGCGCGAAAACUGCACAAUGUGGGAAACCACGAUGCGUGAAACCCAAGUGCCAGCACUAUGUGUUGGCUGUCCUCGACUGUUCGUAAGUCGGGAAGAAAGUGCUGGGUAAGACGGGUGCCAGCCGCCGCGGUAAAACCCGCACCACAAGUGGUGGUCAUUAUUAUUGGGCCUAAAGCGUCCGUAUCUGGCUUGUUAGAUGCCUGGGUAAAUCUAUGUGCUUAACGCAUCUUAUUCCGGGUAGACCGUAGAUCUCGAGACCGGGAGAGGUGUAUGCUACUCGUGGGGUAUGGGUAAAAUCCUGCAAUCCUCCGGGUAGGACCAGUGGCGAAGGCGCUUCACUCCAACGGCUGUGACAGUGAGGUACCAAGCCCUGACGCGCUACCGUAUUAAUAACCUGGUAUUCCAGGUGAAACGCUGAAGACUUGUUGUCGCUGGAUCUAGAGGGUUGCCGGUGCCGGAGAGAAGUUGUUGAGUCCGCCGCCUGGGGAGUACGGACGCAAGUCUGAAACUUAAAGGAAUUGGCGGGGGAGCACCACAAGGGGUGAAGCCUGCGGUUCAUUUGGACUCAACGCCGGG
rnacentral:rRNA from 1 species